rnacentral:rRNA from 1 species
GAUGAACGCUGGCGGCGUGCCUAAUACAUGCAAGUCGAGCGAACAGACGCGGAGCUUGCUCCUCUGAUGUUAGCGGCGGACGAGUGAGUAACACGUGGAUAACCUACCUAUAAGACUGGGAUACCUUCGGGAAACCGGAGCUAAUACCGGAUAACAUGUUGAACCGCAUGGUUCAACAGUGAAAGAUGGUCUUGCUGUCACUUAUAGAUGGAUCCGCGCCGCAUUAUCUAGUUGGUAAGGUAACUGCUUACCAAGGCAACGUUGCAUAACCGACCUGAGAGAGUGAUCGGCCAAACAGGAUCGGAGAGACGGUCCAGACUCCUACGGGAGGCAGCAGUAGGGAAUCUACCGCAAGGGGCGAAAGCCUGACGGAGCAACGCCGCGUGAGUGAAAAAGGUCUUCGGAUCGUAAAACUCUGUUAUUAGGGAAGAACAAAUGUGUAAGUAACUAUGCACGUCUUGACGGUGCCUAAUCAGAAGGCCACGACUAACUACGUG